AGCGUCACUGCGCAGUCCUUUCAUGUCCUUUAGUUCGAAUCUCAUCACACCGCAGUGCUUUUAGGGGAGAAAUGGGAGGCAAACGAUUUUCAUCAAGAUACGAAAAAAUUUUGCAAACUUCCCCGAUAUUUUGAUUUCAAGGCGCUGACGAACGUAAAAAAGUGAUUUUUUCAACAUCGUAUACUUCUUAAGAAGAGGAAAGAAAGCAGAGGAUAUUCAAGACUAUAUUGUUAGAUAAUUAUAUUAUAAUAUUAUAUUUUACGAUUAUUAUUAUUAUUGUACUGCGAUUUGAAAAUACUGUAAUAUUAUUUAUAUAAGAAUUGCGAUAUAUAUGUAUUAAAUAAAUAAAAAAAGUGACUGAAGAGGAAAAGAAAGAAGAGGAAGGAAUCGAACAACGAACGAAGACUGAAACAUCUUUUGCUGAACAGGAAUGGUA